GUCUUUGAACGCACAUUGCGCCCCCUGGUAUUCCGGGGGGCAUGCCUGUCCGAGCGUCAUUGCUGCCCUCAAGCACGGCUUGUGUGUUGGGCUCUCGCCCCCCCGUCUCGGGAGGGCGGGCCCGAAAGGCAGCGGCGGCACCGCGUCCGGUCCUCGAGCGUAUGGGGCUUCGUCACCCGCUCUG
rnacentral:rRNA from 1 species